rnacentral:rRNA from 1 species
UGCCAGACUCCUACGGGAGGCAGCAGUGAGGGAUAUUGGUCAAUGGGGGAAACCCUGAACCAGCAACGCCGCGUGAGGGAAGACGGUUUUCGGAUUGUAAACCUCUGUCCUCUGUGAAGAUAAUGACGGUAGCAGAGGAGGAAGCUCCGGCUAACUACGUGCCAGCAGCCGCGGUAAUACGUAGGGGGCAAGCGUUAUCCGGAUUCACUGGGUGUAAAGGGAGCGUAGACGGCGACGCAAGUCUGGAGUGAAAGCCCGGGGCCCAACCCCGGGACUGCUCUGGAAACUGCGGCGCUGGAGUACGGGAGGGGCAGGCGGAAUUCCUGGUGUAGCGGUGAAAUGCGUAGAUAUCAGGAGGAACACCGGCGGCGAAGGCGGCCUGCUGGACCGUGACUGACGUUGAGGCUCGAGAGCGUGGGGAGCAAACAGGAUUAGAUACCCCAGUAGA